CACGUAGGGCGCGAGCGUUGUCCGGAAUUAUUGGGCGUAAAGAGCUCGUAGGCGGCCUGUUGCGUCCGCUGUGAAAGCCCGGGGCUUAACCCCGGGUCUGCAGUGGAUACGGGCAGGCUAGAGGUAGGUAGGGGAGAAUGGAAUUCCCGGUGUAGCGGUGAAAUGCGCAGAUAUCGGGAGGAACACCGGUGGCGAAGGCGGGUCUCUGGGCCGAAACUGACGCUGAGGAGCGAAAGCGUGGGGAGCAAACAGG
rnacentral:rRNA from 1 species